rnacentral:lncRNA from 10 species
AUUCAUCUCUCACCCUCACCAUGGAACCGUACUCUGAUGAGCAUCUAAGAAACACAGAAACUCAGAAAUGAAACCAUGUGGCUCUGGCACUGCUGACAUAGAAUCACUGAUAUUUCAAAUAUCAGACUUCUCAAAAAGAAGUAUGUAAACUCCCUAUUCCUGUAAUUGCUCAAAUUACUAUCUUUGAACACUUAUAUAUUUCUCUGUUGGACCUGAUUAAAGUACCAAGAAAUUAUAUUUUACUAAGUUUUCUAAAAUGAACAUUUGAAAAGCCUCAUGUUAAACUAAAAUCCCUACUUUUUCUGUAGAAGUUUGCCUUUUGGAUAGAGCAUGGGAAAAUCUGAACUAAACAAACAGGUGAGAAAAUAGAGGCAAAGAGAGGUCAGAGUCAUAUGGUUAAACAUUGGCAAAGCAUGAGUUUAGACUCAGACAGUCUGGCCC